UACGAAGGGGGCUAGCGUUGCUCGGAAUCACUGGGCGUAAAGCGCACGUAGGCGGAUUGCUAAGUCAGGGGUGAAAUCCCGAGGCUCAACCUCGGAACUGCCUUUGAUACUGCAAAUCUCGAGUCCGGAAGAGGUGAGUGGAAUUCCUAGUGUAGAGGUGAAAUUCGUAGAUAUUAGGAAGAACACCAGUGGCGAAGGCGGCUCACUGGUCCGGUACUGACGCUGAGGUGCGAAAGCGUGGGGAGCAAACAGG
rnacentral:rRNA from 1 species